rnacentral:tRNA from 1 species
GGGCGAUUAGCUCAGUUGGCUAGAGCGCUUGCUCGACACGCAAGAGGUCACUGGUUCGAGUCCAGUAUCGCCCA